CACUCCUACGGGAGGCAGCAGUGGGGAAUAUUGCACAAUGGGCGCAAGCCUGAUGCAGCCAUGCCGCGUGUAUGAAGAAGGCCUUCGGGUUGUAAAGUACUUUCAGCGGGGAGGAAGGCGAUAAGGUUAAUAACCUUGUCGAUUGACGUUACCCGCAGAAGAAGCACCGGCUAACUCCGUGCCAGCAGCCGCGGUAAUACGGAGGGUGCAAGCGUUAAUCGGAAUUACUGGGCGUAAAGCGCACGCAGGCGGUCUGUCAAGUCGGAUGUGAAAUCCCCGGGCUCAACCUGGGAACUGCAUUCGAAACUGGCAGGCUAGAGUCUUGUAGAGGGGGGUAGAAUUCCAGGUGUAGCGGUGAAAUGCGUAGAGAUCUGGAGGAAUACCGGUGGCGAAGGCGGCCCCCUGGACAAAGACUGACGCUCAGGUGCGAAAGCGUGGGGAGCAAACAGGAUUAGAAACCCUGGUAGUCCCAUGAU
rnacentral:rRNA from 1 species